rnacentral:rRNA from 1 species
AAUAGAUACCCCGGUAGUCCACGCCGUAAACGUUGGCGCUAGAUGUGGGGACCUUUCCACGGUUUCCGUGUCGUAGCUAACGCAUUAAGCGCCCCGCCUGGGGAGUACGGCCGCAAGGCUAAAACUCAAAGGAAUUGACGGGGGCCCGCACAAGCGGCGGAGCAUGCGGAUUAAUUCGAUGCAACGCGAAGAACCUUACCAAGGCUUGACAUACACGAGAACGGGCCAGAAAUGGUCAACUCUUUGGACACUCGUGAACAGGUGGUGCAUGGUUGUCGUCAGCUCGUGUCGUGAGAUGUUGGGUUAAGUCCCGCAACGAGCGCAACCCUCGUCGCAUGUUGCCAGCACGUUAUGGUGGGGACUCAUGUGAGACUGCCGGGGUCAACUCGGAGGAAGGUGGGGAUGACGUCAAAUCAUCAUGCCCCUUAUGUCUUGGGCUUCACGCAUGCUACAAUGGCCGGUACAAAGGGCUGCGAUGUCGUAAGGCGGAGCGAAUCCCAAAAAGCCGGUCUCAGUUCGGAUUGAGGUCUGC